UUUGACGAGUUCAUGGAAAUACCUUCUUGCAUUAAAGGUUGGCACAGCAGCAAUGCCCACCAAGCGGUGUCAUAUAUUCAUGUGAUCUUCCAUAAGAAGUUUUAAUCAUCUUUUCAGAUUACUUAUUAGAUUGAUAUGGGAUAUUUGUUUUCGAGGAGGUGACUUUGUUUCCAUUUGGGACAUAUUUGCUCGUCUUCUUAUUAUUACGUUUGGUCC
rnacentral:lncRNA from 1 species